rnacentral:lncRNA from 1 species
GUCAAAUAAUGUGAUUGUUAAAUUUUAGAUGUGGUAGUUGAUUUCUCUGAAAUAAGAAUAUUGAUAGUGUAGUCUAUAUCGUGCUGAUUCCAGGACAGUUGUUUUGGAACUGGAAGGGAGAUGUAUGAAAAUCCUUACAGCAGCACUGUUCCAAUGAUGAGUAUCAGGGUAGUGUUGUGUUUGUUUUGCAGGUGAUAUUAAUGUAGUAGAAAAAGUGACAAUUUCAUUCUAUUCACUAUAAUCUUUUGGUGGUUUGUGUUUUUUUUCUGGUGUUUUUUUAAUUGCAGCAGGUGAACAAGAUGAGAAAUAAUGUGUAACAGUGAGGGUUUGUUUGAAAUAAUCAACAGUUACAGAAAAGUACACUUCAUCACUGCACAAGAAGUUCAAACCCUGGAUUUAAAAGAAAAGACAUGUCAUAAACUUCAAGCUCCCAGAUUUUCUGGCAUCCAUGGACUCUUCUGUCUGCACAGCAGAGGAAUUGCACUGGUUCUGGAGGAGUUGUUACAGAUGUACACUGGCACGAGUGGAAAGAAGGAAGUUGCUUGGGAGUUCUACCCAUAUAGGAA